rnacentral:rRNA from 1 species
GACGAACGCUGGCGGCGUGCUUAACACAUGCAAGUCGAACGGAAAGGCCCUGCUUUUGUGGGGUGCUCGAGUGGCGAACGGGUGAGUAACACGUGAGUAACCUGCCCUUGACUUUGGGAUAACUUCAGGAAACUGGGGCUAAUACCGGAUAGGAGCUCCUGCUGCAUGGUGGGGGUUGGAAAGUUUCGGCGGUUGGGGAUGGACUCGCGGCUUAUCAGCUUGUUGGUGUGGUAGUGGCUUACCAAGGCUUUGACGGGUAGCCGGCCUGAGAGGGUGACCGGCCACAUUGGGACUGAGAUACGGCCCAGACGCCUACGGGAGGCAGCAGUGGGGAAUAUGGCACAAUGGGCGGAAGCCUGAUGCAGCAACGCCGCGUGCGGGAUGACGGCCUUCGGGUUGUAAACCGCUUUCGCCUGUGACGAAGCGUGAGUGACGGUAAUGGGUAAAGAAGCACCGGCUAACUACGUG